AGCUCUGCACAGUGGCAGUAUCGUAGCCAAUGAGGUUUAUCCAAGGCGCGAUUAUUGCUAAUUGAAAAAUAUUUUCCCCAAUGCCCCAGACGACUUGAAAUAUUUCGGCCAUUGUUAAUUUUUGACAGUCUCUAUGGAAG
rnacentral:snRNA from 1 species